rnacentral:rRNA from 1 species
GAAUGAACGUUGAUGUGGUUGUUGCUGGCUCGUUGAGCAAGUGCACACUGCAUCAUCUUUAUCUCUCCACCUGUGCACCUUUUGUAGACUUGGAUACUUUGAUUUCCGAGGCAACUCGGGUUUGAGGAAUUGCUAAAUCAGCUUUCCUUGCCAUAUCCAAGGCUAUGUUUUUAUAUACCCUAAUGUAUGUAAUUGAAUGAAUGGAAUGGGCCCUUGUGCCUAUAAAAGUUUAUACAACUUUCAGCAACGGAUCUCUUGGCUCUCGCAUCGAUGAAGAACGCAGCGAAAUGCGAUAAGUAAUGUGAAUUGCAGAAUUCAGUGAAUCAUCGAAUCUUUGAACGCACCUUGCGCUCCUUGGUAUUCCGAGGAGCAUGCCUGUUUGAGUGUCAUUUAAAUUCUCAACCUUACAAUUAAUUUUGUAAUGGCUUGGAUUUGGGGGUUGCUGGCUUCAAUGUAAAGAGGUCUGCUCCCCUUAAAUAUAUUAGCUGGUGGUUUUUACAAGGCAUCUAUUGGCGUGAUAAUUUAUCUACACCAUUGGAUAUGUACAAUUCCACUGCUUCUAACAGUCUUGUUACAAGACAAAAAUUAAAUGAUAAUUUGACCUCAAAUCAGGUAGGACUACCCGCUGA